rnacentral:rRNA from 1 species
UACGUAGGAGGCAAGCGUUAUCCGGAAUGACUGGGCGUAAAGGGUGCGUAGGUGGUUUGACAAGUUGGUAGCGUAACUCCGGGGCUCAACCUCGGAUCUACUACCAAAACUGUCGGGCUUGAGUGCAGGAGGGGUAAAUGGAAUUCCCAGUGUAGCGGUGGAAUGCGUAGAUAUUGGGAAGAACACCAGCGGCGAAGGCGAUUUACUGGACCGUGACUGACGUUGAGGCUCGAAAGCGUGGGGAGCAAACAGG